AUUGAACGCUGGCGGCAGGCUUAACACAUGCAAGUCGAGCGGGGGAAGGUAGCUUGCUACCGGACCUAGCGGCGGACGGGUGAGUAAUGCUUAGGAAUCUGCCUAUUAGUGGGGGACAACAUCUCGAAAGGGAUGCUAAUACCGCAUACGUCCUACGGGAGAAAGCAGGGGAUCUUCGGACCUUGCGCUAAUAGAUGAGCCUGAGUCGGAUUAGCUAGUUGGUGGGGUAAAGGCCUACCAAGGCGACGAUCUGUAGCGGGUCUGAGAGGAUGAUCCGCCACACUGGGACUGAGACACGGCCCAGACUCCUACGGGAGGCAGCAGUGGGGAAUAUUGGACAAUGGGGGGAACCCUGAUCUAGCCAUGCCGCGUGUGUGAAGAAGGCCUUAUGGUUGUAAAGCACUUUAAGCGAGGAGGAGGCUACUUUAGUUAAUACCUGGUGAUAGUGGACGUUACUCGCAGAAUAAGCACCGGCUAACUCUGUGCCAGCCGCCGCGGUAA
rnacentral:rRNA from 1 species